UUCUGCAUAUAUUCACCCUUUAAAGCCAUGUCUUCACUUUCCACCGCCACCUUUAACUGACACCAAUACACCACCUUAUCAUAUAUAUAUAACUCUCCAAUGGCUUCCACCGUCUCUCUGCCUCCAACUGACCCUUCAUCUUUUUCCACUGAAGACCCAGCUGCCAAAGCCCUCAACAAGCGAUACCAGGGCCUCAUCACGGUUCGAACCAAGGCCACCAAGGGUAAGGGAGCUUGGUACUGGGCUCACCUCGAACCGAUCCUCGUUCGGAACCCGGAGAGCAGCCUCCCCAAAGCCGUUAAACUCAGGUGUUCCCUCUGCGACGCCGUUUUCUCCGCCUCGAACCCGUCCCGGACGGCUUCCGAGCACUUGAAACGCGGCACCUGCCCCAAUUUCAGCUCCGGUUUGAGACCCGGUUCGUCGUUGUCUCCGUUGCCUAUAUCUUCGUUAGCUUCCCCUUCUUCUGUUUCGUAUCAUCAUAAUCAUCGAAAGCAAAGUCCAUCGGCGGCGGCUGUCUCCGUUUUGCAAAUCCAAGUUAGUAAUAACGGUAACGAUGACGAUGAUAAUAAUAAUAAUUGUAAUAGCAACUCGUUGGCUAUAGUCGAGUCCACUCGUUUUCUGGGCUACUCGAGCCAUAGUAAUAACAAAUACAAUGCUGGGUUGAAUCAGCAUCGUUUGGUCCUAUCUGGUGGGAAAGAAGAUUUGGGUGCCUUGGCAAUGUUGGAAGAUAGUAUUAAGAAGCUUAAGAGUCCUAAAAUUUCCCCAGGUCUAGCUUUAAGCAAGGGCCAGAUAGAUUCUGCACUUGAUUUAUUAGCUGAGUGGUUCUAUGAGUCUUGUGGCUCGGUUUCCUUUUCUAGCCUGGAGCACCCAAAGUUUCGGGCUUUCCUUAACCAGGUUGGGAUGCCAGCUAUUUCGAGAAGGGACCUCUCAGGUGCUCGGCUCGAUAAUAAGUUCCACGAGGCGAAGAGCGAUUCCGAGGCUAGAAUUAGGGAUGCAAUGUACUUUCAAGUUGCUUCUGAUGGGUGGAAGAGUAGAAGUUGUUGUGGUUGCAGUAGUUAUACUGGUACUACUAGCAGCUCUGGCUGCGUGGAGGAGAAUUUUGUUAAAUUCAGUGUUAAUCUUCCAAAUGGGAGCAGCUUGUACCAGAAGGUGGUCUUUACCAAUGAACCGGUUACUUCCAAGCAGGCUGAGGAGGUCUUGUGGGAGACGAUAAUGAGGAUAUCCGGAAGUGGUAUUCAGAAAUGUGUAGGGAUUGUUUCGGAUCAUAAGGCGAAGGCAUUGAGGAAUUUGGAGAUUCAGAAUCAUUGGAUGGUUAAUCUAUCUUGUCAGCUUCAAGGUUUUAUUAGUUUGAUAAAGGAUUUUAGCAAAGAGCUUCCCCUUUUCAGGACUGUCACCGAGAAUUCCUUAAAGAUAGCGAGUUUUCUUGACAAUAACUUGCAAGUUAGAAACAGGUUUCAAAAGUAUAGUAUGCAGGAGCUUGAGUCUGCUGGGUUGAUACGGGUUCCUUCAAACAAAUGUCAUUGCAGCAGUAAUAUUGCACGUGCUUUUGCAAUGAUGGAGGACAUAUUUAGCUGUUCGCAAGUGCUUCAGAUGCUCGUAUUGGAUGAUUCUUACAAGGGGAUUUGUAUCGAGGAUCCCGUCGCUAGGGAAGUUGCUGGGAUUGUCCAAAAUGAAGGGUUUUGGAAUGAUUUAGGGGCAGUUUAUGCACUGGUUAAGUUGAUCAAAGGUAUGGCUCAUGAGAUUGAGAUGGAAAGGCCAUUGAUUGGGCAAUGCCUCCCUCUUUGGGAGGAGUUGAGGGUCAAAGUGAAGGAAUGUUGUACCAAGUUCAACGUAGCUGAAGCUCCUGUUGAGAAAAUUGUUGAAAAGAGAUUUAGAAAGAACUACCACCCUGCAUGGUCAGCUGCAUUUAUACUUGAUCCACUUUACUUGAUACGGGAUACAAGCGAAAAAUACCUUCCACCCUUCCGGUUUUUGACUCGUGAGCAGGAGAAGGAUGUUGACGAGCUCAUCACUCGUUUGGCUACCAAGGAAGAAGCACAUGUUGCACUGAUGGAGCUCAUGAAAUGGAGAUCAGAAGGGUUAGAGCCACUAUAUGCUCAAGCUGUUCAGGUUAAACAGCGAGACUCCGUGACUGGAAAAAUGAAAAUUGCUAACCCACAGAGCAGUAGGCUGGUUUGGGAAACAUGUCUUAGCGAAUACAAAUCAUUAGGAAAGGUUGCGGUGAGGCUUAUCUUCCUACAUGCAACAUCUAGCAGGUUUAAACAUAACUGGUCUUUGAUGAAGUGGAUUUGUGUCCACCGACACUCACGGAUAGGCCUUGAAAGGGCUCAGAAGAUGAUAUUCAUUGCAGCUCAUUCAAAGCUUGGCAGGAGGGAUUUCUCCAAUGAGGAAGAAAAAGAUGCAGAUCUGUUCAUGAUCGGCCGUGAGGAUGAUGUCCUCAAUGAAGUUUUUGCAGAUGCGCCAUAAGUAUAUUCAGUUGAGCUUGUGGUGAAUCAGAUUUUAUUUUCCAACCAAAAGGGUCAACCUCAGAUGAACUUGGGAGCGUAUCUUCGUUGCUGGAGGGCACUUCUUGCCAAUAUGACUAGGGCUGUCUGGUUUCGACAAUGUGUGAACCCCACUACGAGGAGUGGACGUCUGUCUCAUCGUAGUCAAGGAAAACUUUUGCGGGGCUAUCAAUAUAGCUGCUAUAAAGUUUUUGAGCAAAGAAGAAGCAAAGAGGCCUGUCGGUUUUGGGAGGCACACAAUGGCUGAUAGGGAUAUCACAACGAACUUGACCUGAUUUUGUAGGCUCUAUAUUUCUGUGAGCAUUGUUGACUAACUCAGCAGGUUAGUGGUAUCAGUGGUAUUCAUAUAGUUCCAUAUAUCAAAAGUUUCUUUACUAUUUUGGUUGUCAUGGACUCAUGGGCAUGUAUCCAUGCAUGAUGCAAUCAACUAUGAAAUGUUAUU